GGAUGCAGUAACUCUGACUGUAAUAAAGUAGCAUAAUUAGUUGUCAUUUAAUUGAUGGAGAGAAUGAAUGGUUACACGAAUAUUUCACUGUCUUAAAAAAAAUUUUUUAAAAUUGAAAUAAUAGUUAAGAUGCUAUUUAAAAUUGUAAGACGAAGAGACCCUAUAGAGCUUUACUAUAAACUUUUUUUUAAAUAGAUAAUAAAAAAAUUAUCUUAUUCAGAAAGUUUGGUAGUUUAGUUGGGGCGACUGUUUUUUAAAAAUAACAAAAAUAAGCAAUAUAAUAAAUUUAUUUAUUGUAUAAUUAAACAAUUUAACAAUUACUAUAGUAGGCUAUAAUGACCCGUUAUUAUGAUAAACAACAAAUAACGAUUAAUUAAUAAAAGCUACCUUAGGGAUAACAGGA
rnacentral:rRNA from 1 species